UACGUAGGUGGCAAGCGUUGUCCGGAUUUAUUGGGUUUAAAGGGUGCGUAGGCGGGUCUUUAAGUCAGUGGUGAAAGCCCAUAGCUUAACUAUGGAACUGCCAUUGAAACUGGGGACCUUGAAUUCGGUAUAGGUAGGCGGAAUUGAUGGUGUAGCGGUGAAAUGCAUAGAUACCAUCAGGAACACCGAUUGCGAAGGCAGCUUACUGGACUUGAAUUGACGCUGAGGCACGAAAGCGUGGGUAGCGAACAGG
rnacentral:misc_RNA from 1 species